rnacentral:rRNA from 1 species
CAGCAGCCGCGGUAAUACGAAGGGGGCUAGCGUUGUUCGGAAUUACUGGGCGUAAAGCGCACGUAGGCGGACAUUUAAGUCAGGGGUGAAAUCCCGGGGCUCAACCCCGGAACUGCCUUUGAUACUGGGUGUCUAGAGUAUGGAAGAGGUGAGUGGAAUUCCGAGUGUAGAGGUGAAAUUCGUAGAUAUUCGGAGGAACACCAGUGGCGAAGGCGGCUCACUGGUCCAUUACUGACGCUGAGGUGCGAAAGCGUGGGGAGCAAACAGGAUUAGAUACCCGUGUAGUCCCUGUCUCUUAUAA